rnacentral:lncRNA from 1 species
CACUCUCGGGCUGGGAUGGACGCGGGGCGGGCCGGCCCUGGCGCGCGGAGCCAGGAGUCCGGGCCUCCCGGCUGCUGAGCGUCCCUCGAAGCCUCCCCUCACCCCCGCCUUCCCUCCUAGGAUCCGCGCUGACCCCCGCCCCGGGGCUCUGGACUCGGCUCCCGCCCUCCUCUGACUCCCCGGACCUCCCCCUCACGCCCGCCCUCGGGAUCGACUAGAUCCCUCCCCCUCCCCGAGGAUUCCGGCUGGAUCCCUGCCCCUGCACCGCGGAUCCUGCGCUCCCGGGCCCCGGGCCCCUGGGGAUUAACGUGGACUCCUCCUCCAGCACCCGAUCCUUAGGAUCCUCCGCCUGGACCGCCUUCUGGUCCCUCGAAGCCGGCCCACGGAACCAGCGGAUCCUCAAUCUAGUCCUGUCCCGUUGCCCCCUCCUUUCUCUAUCGUCCCUACUGCGGGGUUCCCUGUUCUCGGGCUCCCCCUGAUCCCAUCCCCUAGCUCUCCUUUUCCCGGGGAUCGACUGGAUCCCGGCCCCGCCCCCCGGGGCUGGGGCGAUCCCCCUCCCCCGCCGGGUGAGGCGCUGCGGGCGGGGGCUGGGCCUGCGGGGCCGCGGGGGCUCAGAGGCCGCCGCCCCCUCCCGAAGGCCUUUCGCCCCCCACUCGGAGCCCUGGAUGGAGGCACCACGGCCCCAGGGCUGAGCCAGGUCGGGCCUGCCUUCACCUUCUCCCAUUUCCUUCCCCUUCCCCACCCCGUGCCCCCUCCAUGGAGAGGAACAGACCCCUUCUCUGUCCAGUCUAACCCAGGUCCCUCCCCAACCCCCUCCUCCCUCCUUUCC